rnacentral:rRNA from 1 species
GAUCAUGGCUGGACAGUUUGGACGUGUGCCGGCCCUUCCUGCGCAGCCUCAGCUCGGCG